rnacentral:rRNA from 1 species
AGUGAAGAGGGAUUAGCCCAGCACCGAAGCCUGCGACAAAUUUGUUGUUAGGCCAUGUGGUGUGCGAGUUGGCUGGCGGGAUCGUAACUCUACUCGAAGUCCAGCAUUGAGUAUGGUUAUUAUUGGAUUUGGCCCAUAGAGGGUGAGAGGCCCGUACGGUUGGAGGUUCAGACAAGUUAUACGGUUCACCAGGUCAACUUUAGAGUCGGGUUGUUUGAGAUUGCAGCCCAAAGUGGGUGGUAAACUCCAUCUAAGGCUAAAUACAGGUACGAGUCCGAUAGCGAACAAGUACCGUGAGGGAAUGUUGAAAAGUACUCUGAAGAGAGAGUAAAUAGUAAGUGAAACCGCAUGCAGGUAAACGGGUGGCGUCAAACCGCAAGCCUAGAGAAUAAAUCUGACUAAUUUGUGUUUUGGUCGGAAUAAAAUGUAGUGGUCUAUUCUCUAUGUGAGAAUAGGGCAUAAAGUGUUAUAAAAUAAGUAGACUUUUUUAGUUUGCUUAUAUAUUUCACUUUUUUUAGCUAUACGUGCCAGAUAGGUAUGGAAGUAUGCCACUCAUCUGUUGGGCCACUUAGUCAGUGUAAAUUCUCUAUGGUAAACAUCACGACCAAUGAUAUUGCUAGUUCACUAUAGUUAAGUCGUAUUAGCCUAAUUUGUUAACUUGUUUUAUUUUUAAUUUUAAUUAGUUAGUGUGUUGGUUAAUCAUUAUUUGGUUAGCUGGCUAAGCUAUCUAAUUAAUUAAUUAUGUAAAUAAGUUGACUCUAAAUAAUUAGGUAGAUACGAUCGCAGAUAGAGUAGACGGCGUAGUAAUACUUUGGUAUUGUUGCGUGUUAUCGUUUACUUACUGUUUAACACAUUACUAAUGUUAAAAUCUGUGACUACAUUUAUUAGUAAUGUGGCCGACUGUAGUAGUAAAAAUGACUGUGCAAGGCAUUGGAUUUAUCUAUCUAUUAUAAUAUGUAUGUAUCCUACAGGCACGUCACAGGUGCAUUAAAAAUAGAAGCACGCUGUUUAUUGUAUGUAUUAUGUGUGAUUGUCGUAUUGCUUACAAAAAAGCAGAUGCGGCAUUUGUGUAAUGCAUUAUAAUAAGCAAUAUUAGCGUUGCUUUUGGUGUAUGGAUAUAAAAAGAUGAAAUAGUCAGUGAUGCUGUGGUAGAUGAGCUACCUGACCCGUCUUGAAACACGGACCAAGGAGUUUAACAUGCAUGCAAGUCAAAGGGUAUUACGAAACAUGUUGAGACCCGAAAGAUGGUGAACUAUGCUUGCGUAGAUUGAAGCCAGAGAAAACUCUGGUGGAGGACCGUAGCGAUUCUGACGUGCAAAUCGAUCGUCAAACGU